GUACGUAAUAUGGUUAUUUCAAAUGAGUUCAGUCUAACAACGGGUUAGCAUUUUGUGUAGGUUGUGUUUAUUGUUUUAUUAAUCAGACUUAUCAGUUCAAUGGAGGAACCAUUAUUUUCUGUUUACGGGGAUUUCGUCGACUGGUCUCUCCAAACUGCUUGGGAACAGAAUGACGCCGAGGUGGACAGUGCGUUUGGAGACUGGAGUUCUGCCUGUAAUGGCAACAAGUCGGAUGCAGUUGAAAGAUCUUCAUCUCUGUCUUCACCCAUGGACAUGGACAUCUCUAAACUCUCAACAAAGCUGGAGAAUGGCAAUGUGAAGAAAUCAUGUGUAGUUUUCCAGGAGUGCUUCCAGGUCUUGGGUGAAUCUAAAGAGACCAACUGUACUGUACGAUCUCUGUCCCAGCUGCUAGAAAACACACAGCCUUUUCAACCAACAGCUACAAUAUGUGACUGUGGCAGCUUGUGGAGCCAUCUGGUGGCUGAGCCCAGCAGGCUGAGGCUGUCAGAGCCAAAGCCCAGCUUACACUGCCACAGCCACAGCAGAAUGGUUUCUGCCCUCAGAAUCACACCCUCAAAUUGCAUCUCUGACCAGUGGGAGUCUGUCUUUUUGGAAGAUCAUGAAGAAACUACAGAGACCUCUUGCCCCCCUGCUGCUGCUCUCAUCAAAACCAAGCUGCUGGCCCCCUCCUCCUGCCAUGGUGACACCCCAGCUUUCCUCUACCAAAUCUCCCAGCAGUGGCUGACUCAAUGCAGCAUCCAGCUGCAGCCUCAGCACCACAAGAAGCCUCCUGCACUGAACUAUGGAGAAGGAUAAGAUGAAGAUGCUGCUUAGCAUAGCCCUACUGUACUGUUGUAGAUGGAUGAAACGGGUUGGGUUGAUACCCGGGUGAGAACAAAGUAUACACUUUUCGCAACAUUUUAUUUAUACAGAUUGUAAAGAAAGUACAUUCUAUGAUAUUGUGUAUUUAGUUUGCAGGCGUUUUCCUGGUUUUAUAUAUAAUAUUUUGAUACGGAGUGCAGUUACAGUGAUACUAUAAAAUGUUCUAUAAAUGUAUUGAGUUAUUUAUUCAGUGUAACACCUGUUUUAUACCACUAUUGUCAAGAGCAGAGGGAACAAUGCAAAUCUUUGGAAGUCACAGCACUCCACUAGAGGGCAUACUGGCUUCCUCAUAAGUCCCAACCCCCAUUUUGCAAACAUACAGUGCAUUCAGAAAGUAUUCAGACCCCUUGACUUUUUCCACAUCUUGUUACGUUACAGCCUUAUUCUAGAAUUGAUUACACAUUUUGUUUCUCAUCAAUCUACACACACUACCCCAUAAUGACAAAGCGGAAACAGGUUUUUAGAAUUGUUGGCAAAGGUAUUAAAAAC
ensembl:lncRNA